CACAUCACGUUGUAACACCGGUUCCUGUAAGAUCACAGAAGUUAAGCAACGGUGAGAGUGUUAAGUACCCAGAUGGAUGACCGCUUCGAAAAAGCAGGUGCUGUAA